rnacentral:rRNA from 1 species
GACGAACGCUGGCGGCGCGCUUAACACAUGCAAGUCGAACGGAAAGGCCUGCUUUCCCUUGUGGAUUGCGGGUACUCGAGUGGCGAACGGGUGAGUAACACGUGAGUGAUCUGCCCCCAACUUGGGUAUAAGCCUGGGAAACUGGGUCUAAUUCCCGAUAGGACUGCAGGGUGGUGCCUGUGGUGGAAAACGAUUUUCUAGUGGGUGGGGAUGAGCUCGCGGCCUAUCAGCUUGUUGGUGGGGUGAUGGCCUACCAAGGCGGCGACGGGUAGCCGGGCUGGGGGGGUGGACGGCCACAUUGGGACGGAGAGACGGCCCAGACUACUACGGGCGGCAGCAGUGGGGAAUAUAGCACGAUGGGCGGAAUCCUGAUGCAGCGACGCGGCGUGGGGGAUGACGUCCUGCGGGUUGUACACUCCUUUCGACGGCGAGGAAGCCACCUGGUUGGAAGGGUGGUGACGGUAGUGGUAGAAGAAGCACCGGCUAACUACGUG